rnacentral:rRNA from 1 species
AGGGAAUUUUCCGCAAUGGGCGAAAGCCUGACGGAGCAACGCCGCGUGAGGGAAGAAGGUCUUCGGAUCGUAAACCUUUGUCAUCGAGGACGAUAAUGACGGUACUCGAGGAGGAAGCCCCGGCUAACUACGUGCCAGCAGCCGCGGUAACACGUAGGGGGCGAGCGUUGUCCGGAAUUACUGGGCGUAAAGGGCGCGUAGGCGGCCUAAUAAGUCAGAUGUGAAACCCCCGGGCUUAACCCUGGGCUUGCAUUUGAAACUGUUGGGCUUGAGGACAGGAGAGGAAAGCGGAAUUCCCAGUGUAGCGGUGAAAUGCGUAGAUAUUGGGAGGAACACCAGUGGCGAAGGCGGCUUUCUGGACUGUAACUGACGCUGAGGCGCGAAAGCCAGGGUAGCGAACG